GACGAACGCUGGCGGCGUGCUUAACACAUGCAAGUCGAACGGAAAGGCCCUGCUUUUGUGGGGUGCUCGAGUGGCGAACGGGUGAGUAACACGUGAGUAACCUGCCCUUGACUUUGGGAUAACUUCAGGAAACUGGGGCUAAUACCGGAUAGGAGCUCCUGCUGCAUGGUGGGGGUUGGAAAGUUUCGGCGGUUGGGGAUGGACUCGCGGCUUAUCAGCUUGGUGGUGGGGUAGUGGCUUACCAAGGCUUUGACGGGUAGCCGGCCUGAGAGGGUGACCGGCCACAUUGGGACUGAGAUACGGCCCAGACUCCUACGGGAGGCAGCAGUGGGGAAUAUUGCACAAUGGGCGGAAGCCUGAUGCAGCAACGCCGCGUGCGGGAUGACGGCCUUCGGGUUGUAACCCGCUUUCGCCUGUGACGAAGCGUGAGUGACGGUAAUGGGUAAAGAAGCACCGGCUAACUACGUG
rnacentral:rRNA from 1 species